UAUAAGAUAUGCAAAUAAGAAUAGUGAGUUUCAGAACAAUCGAAUAGAGCACCUCAAUUUUUUACAAGUUCUUGGAAAAUCUGAGAUCAACGCUCGGGAAUUUAAAAUCAACUUGUUCUUGAAAGCAACAGUUUGCUCUAAGGCCAGUAGUGACAGUGAACAUAAACAUCGCCCUGAAUGUGGCUUUAAAUCCAGAAGGCCUUUUAUAAACUGUGUUGUUUGCAGCAAAGACUUCCAUGACAGCACUGCCCCCUACAUUGACUGUGUUCUCCACAAAGAURUGAAGAAGCAAGAUGACAUCCGACAUGACAAGUGUUCAGAUCUUCAACAUGGAGGGUAUACAACUUUAGCCUUACGUGCCAAAGAAGACCUUCAGACUGGAUGCCUUGGCUGUUUCUGAUAACUAAUGAAAGUACGUGUCCAGCACUGACGGUCAGAGGCAGUCCUUAUAAAGCACUUCUGUCUUUGGAUUUAUAWUGUAGCCUGUUGGAAUUUUAACACAAUGCARUUGUCUCAAAUACUCUUUCCAAUUUUGAAUCCCUUAUAUUAUCGUAAUCCACAUAGAAUAUUUAUCUAAACGUCCCCUUCUUUGCUGAUUCUCCACAUAUAUUUACAGACAAAGUGAGAACAGUCUGCUACUUCAGAUUCACAUGGAUUACCCCACCGCUUAUUUCAAUGUUGUACGUUUACGAAAUAAUAUUACUGUUAAAGUAAAGUUACUCUAAUUUAACCAGUAUGAGGGGUGAAAAAUGAUGCCAUCAA